AGAGUUUGAUCCUGGCUCAGGACGAACGCUGGCGGCGUGCUUAACACAUGCAAGUCGAACGGAAAGGCCCUUCGGGGUACUCGAGUGGCGAACGGGUGAAUAACACGUGGGUGAUCUGCCCUGCACUUUGGGAUAAGCCUGGGAAACUGGGUCUAAUACCGAAUAGGACCACGCGCUUCAUGGUGUGUGGUGGAAAGCUUUUGCGGUGUGGGAUGGGCCCGCGGCCUAUCAGCUUGUUGGUGGGGUAAUGGCCUACCAAGGCGACGACGGGUAGCCGGCCUGAGAGGGUGACCGGCCACACUGGGACUGAGAUACGGCCCAGACUCCUACGGGAGGCAGCAGUGGGGAAUAUUGCACAAUGGGCGCAAGCCUGAUGCAGCGACGCCGCGUGAGGGAUGACGGCCUUCGGGUUGUAAACCUCUCUCACCAGGGACGAAGCGCAAGUGACGGUACCUGGAGAAGAAGCACCGGCCAACUACGUACCAGCAGCCGCGGUAAUACGUAGGGUGCGAGCGUUGUCCGGAAUUACUGGGCGUAAAGAGCUCGCAGGUGGUUUGUCGCGUUGUUCGUGAAAACUCACAGCUUAACUGUGGGCGUGCGGGCGAUACGGGCAGACUAGAGUACUGCAGGGGAGACUGGAAUUCCUGGUGUAGCGGUGGAAUGCGCAGAUAUCAGGAGGAACACCGGUGGCGAAGGCGGGUCUCUGGGCAGUAACUGACGCUGAGGAGCGAAAGCGUGGGGAGCGAACAGGAUUAGAUACCCUGGUAGUCCACGCCGUAAACGGUCCGUAAAAGGUGUGGGUUCCUUCCCUUGGGAUCCGUGCCGUAGCUAACGCAUUAAGUACCCCGCCUGGGGAGUACGGCCGCAAGGCUAAAACUCAAAGGAAUUGACGGGGGCCCGCACAAGCGGCGGAGCAUGUGGAUUAAUUCGAUGCAACGCGAAGAACCUUACCUGGGUUUGACAUGCACAGGACGCCGGCAGAGAUGUCGGUUCCCUUGUGGCCUGUGUGCGGGUGGUGCAUGGCUGUCGUCAGCUCGUGUCGUGAGAUGUUGGGUUAAGUCCCGCAACGAGCGCAACCCUCGUCCUAUGUUGCCAGCGGGUUAUGCCGGGGACUCGUAGGAGACUGCCGGGGUCAACUCGGAGGAAGGUGGGGAGGGCGUCAAGUCAUCAUGCCCCUUAUGUCCAGGGCUUCACACAUGCUACAAUGGCCGGUACAAAGGGCUGCGAUGCCGUGAGGUGGAGCGAAUCCUUUCAAAGCCGGUCUCAGUUCGGAUCGGGGUGUGCAACUCGACCCCGCGAAGUCGGAGUCGCUAGUAAUCGCAGAUCAGCGGCGCUGCGGUGAAAAAGUUCCCGGGCC
rnacentral:rRNA from 1 species